UACAGAGGGUGCAAGCGUUAAUCGGAAUUACUGGGCGUAAAGCGAGCGUAGUCGGUUAUUUAAGUCGGAUGUGAAAUCCCCGGGCUCAACCUGGGAAUUGCAUUCGAUACUGGAUAGCUAGAGUUCGGCAGAGGGAAGCGGAAUUCCGGGUGUAGCGGUGGAAUGCGUAGAGAUCCGGAGGAAGACCGGUGGCGAAGGCGGCCUGCUGGGCAGAUACUGACACUGAGGCGCGACAGCGUGGGGAGCAAACAGG
rnacentral:rRNA from 1 species